GACUUUCCAAUCCUUGAUUUUUCAACCCCCAAAUCUGUCAAUUGAUUAUCUUCAGAAAUUAAUGCUGUGAAUCUUAAUCCAUUACGAUUUUCUUCCGCUAAACUUGCAUGUCAAUUUGGAUUUCCAACCGGGGUACGCCUAGAUUUACGCUGAACUACCAUCCAUGGACCAAAGCAUCAGUUGCCGUCACCGGAUUUGCGUCCUUGCCCGCUGUCACAGUUACAUCUUCCUUCUCUCCUUGUAUGCUCUGUUCUGCCAAAAAAGAAGAACAAGAAGUUUUUAAAUGGCCAUAUUUGCC
rnacentral:lncRNA from 1 species